rnacentral:rRNA from 1 species
UACAGAGGGGGCAAGCGUUGUUCGGAAUUACUGGGCGUAAAGGGCGCGUAGGCGGCCUGUUAAGUCGAACGUGAAAUCCCCGGGCUCAACCCCGGGACUGCGUCCGAUACUUCCGAGCUGGAGGUAGGUAGGGGAGAUCGGAAUUCCUGGUGUAGCGGUGAAAUGCGCAGAUAUCAGGAGGAACACCGGUGGCGAAGGCGGAUCUCUGGGCCUUACCUGACGCUGAGGCGCGAAAGCUAGGGGAGCGAACAGG